CUGGGAAUCUUCGACAAUGGGCGAAAGCCUGAUCGAGCGACGUCGCGUGGGGGAUGAAGGCCUUCGGGUUGUAAACUCCUUUUGCUAGGGAACAAUACAAUUGAGUUAACCUAGCGAAUAAGCACCUGCAAACUACGUGCCAGCAGCAGCGGUGAUACGUAGGGUGCAAGCAUUAUCCGGAUUUAUUGGGCGUAAAGGGUUGCGUAGGUGGUUUAGUAAGUCUUUUCUUAAAGACCCUGGCUUAACUAGGGUACUGGAGCAGAUACUGCUAGACUUUGAAGAAGUGAGAGGUCAGCGGAACUUAUGGUGGAGCAGUGAAAUGCGUUGAGAUCAUAAUGAACACCGAUGGCGUAGGCAGCUGACUGGCACUUUCUUGACACUGAGGCACGAAAGCUAGGGG
rnacentral:rRNA from 1 species